UCUCCUCCCCUCACUGCAAUCGACGGGAUCGCUGGCAAUGGCAAUCGCUGAUCAACAUCUUUCGAUGCACGCCGCUCCACAUCGCUACUUCAACUGACGAUUUAUUCAUGUCCCAAGUUUCUGAUCCAGAUGACGCCGUGAAAUAGAGAAUGAAAAACCUUUUAAUUAGCUGUCAGUGUUCUAUACUCGUCUACUCUACUCAUCUUCAUCGCUCAGUCUCAGACUCUCUAUACGACUCUAACAACAGUAAGAUAAGAAGUUUAUAAGUUGAUUUUCGCUAAUGAAGAAGUCAACAAGUUCGCAUCGCCUAGUAUGAAUACUUACAUCUCCGUAUUUUUUAUAAAUUCUUUCCCUCCUUACUUUUUGCUAGCUGUUGGAGGAGGCUGAGGAGGGAAUGGAUCAUUCUACUCUAAUGUCCAAGCCUGAG